UUAGAUGGCGCGGGGUGUCGGGAAAUCCGGCUGAGAGUUACCCGUUGAACUUGAUCUGAAUCAUAUCAGCGUAAGGACGCCUUCAAAAAAACCA
rfam:Legionella pneumophila subsp. pneumophila str. Philadelphia 1, complete genome.